AAGUCGUAACAAGGUCUCCGUAGGUGAACCUGCGGAGGGAUCAUUAAUGAAUGGCUCUCUGAGCCUUCAACCUUGCAAACCAGUGGAAGCAAUGUGUGCUUCGACGCUUCGGCGUCGCUUUUAUGCAUAAAUCUGUUUGUCGUCUGAAUCAUACACAAGAAUCAAAACUUUCAACAAAGGAUCUCUUGGCUCUC
rnacentral:misc_RNA from 1 species